rnacentral:rRNA from 1 species
UACAGAGGUGCCGAGCGUUAGGCGGAAUCCCUGGGCUUAAAGCGCGUGUAGGCGGGUCGUUAAGUGCCUUGUGAAAUCCCACGGCUCAACCGUGGAACGGCUGGGCAUACUGGCGAUCUUGAGGCACCCAGGGGCGAGCGGAACAAAUGGUGGAGCGGUGAAAUGCGUAGAUAUCAUUUGGAACGCCGACGGUGAAAACAGCUCGCUGGGGGUGUCCUGACGCUGAGACGCGAAAGCCAGGGGAGCGAACGGG